GUUGUAUGGUUAAGUGACUAAGCGUAUACGGUGGAUGCCUUGGCAGUUAGAGGCGAUGAAGGACGUGUAAGUCUGCGAAAAGCUGUGGUGAGCCGACAAAAUGCAUUUGAGCCACAGAUGUCCGAAUGGGGAAACCCACCUAUUUAUAGGUAUCGUUACAUGAAUAUAUAGUGUAACGAGGCGAACGAGGGGAACUGAAACAUCUAAGUACCCUUAGGAAAAGAAAUCAACCGAGAUUCCCCUAGUAGCGGCGAGCGAACGGGGAUUAGCCCUUAAGCAAUUAUGAACGUAGUGGAAGCCUCUGGGAAGUGGCGCGAUACAAGGUGAUAGCCCUGUACACGAAGUGUUUGUUUUUGUGAAAUCGAGUAGGUCGGGACACGUGUUAUCUUGACUGAAUAUGGGGGGACCAUCCUCCAAGGCUAAAUACUCCUAACUGACCGAUAGUGAACCAGUACCGUGAGGGAAAGGCGAAAAGAACCCCUGUGAGGGGAGUGAAAUAGAACCUGAAACCGUAUACGUACAAGCAGUGGGAGCAGACUUGUUCUGUGACUGCGUACCUUUUGUAUAAUGGGUCAGCGACUUAUAUUUAGUAGCAAGGUUAAGCGAAUAGCGGAGCCGUAGCGAAAGCGAGUGUUAACUGCGCGUUUAGUUGCUAGGUAUAGACCCGAAACCCGGUGAUCUAGCCAUGGGCAGGUUGAAGGUUGAGUAACAUCAACUGGAGGACCGAACCCACUAACGUUGAAAAGUUAGGGGAUGACUUGUGGCUGGGGGUGAAAGGCCAAUCAAACCGGGAGAUAGCUGGUUCUCCCCGAAAUCUAUUUAGGUAGAGCCUCGGACGAAUUCCAUUGGGGGUAGAGCACUGUUAAGGCUAGGGGGUCAUCCCGACUUACCAACCCUUUGCAAACUCCGAAUACCAAUGAGAACUAUCCGGGAGACACACGGCGGGUGCUAACGUCCGUCGUGAAGAGGGAAACAACCCAGACCGCCAGCUAAGGUCCCAAAAUAUUGCUAAGUGGGAAACGAUGUGGGAAGGCAUAGACAGCUAGGAGGUUGGCUUAGAAGCAGCCACCCUUUAAAGAAAGCGUAAUAGCUCACUAGUCGAGUCGGCCUGCGCGGAAGAUGUAACGGGGCUAAGCAAUAUACCGAAGCUGCGGAUACGUGUUUACACGUAUGGUAGGGGAGCGUUGUGUAAGUGGAUGAAGGUGGAUUGAGAAGUCUGCUGGACAUAUCACAAGUGCGAAUGCUGACAUGAGUAACGAUAAUGGGAGUGAAAAACUCCCACGCCGGAAGACCAAGGUUUCCUGUCCCAUGCUAAUCAGGGCAGGGUAAGUCGGCCCCUAAGGCGAGGCAGAAAUGCGUAGUCGAUGGGAAACGGAUUAAUAUUUCCGUACUUAUAUAAUCAGUGAUGGAGGGACGGAGAAGGCUAAGCAAGCUUGGCGUUGGUUGUCCAAGUGAAAGCAAGUAGGCCGAGUGUUUAGGUAAAUCCGGACGCUUAAAGCUGAGAUGCGAGACGAGCUACUACGGUAGUGAAGUUGUUGAUGCCCUGCUUCCAGGAAAAGCUUCUAAACUUAUGAUUAUAUAAACCGUACCCCAAACCGACACAGGUGGUCAGGUAGAGAAUACUAAGGCGCUUGAGAGAACUCGGGUGAAGGAACUCGGCAAAAUUGUACCGUAACUUCGGGAGAAGGUACGCCCUUGUUUGUGAUAGGACUUGCUCCUUGAGCAGAUGAGGGCCGCAGUGACCAGGUGGCUGGGACUGUUUAUUAAAAACACAGCACUCUGCUAACUCGCAAGAGGACGUAUAGGGUGUGACACCUGCCCGGUGCCGGAAGGUUAAUUGAUGGGGUUAUCUUCGGAGAAGCUCUUGAUCGAAGCCCCGGUAAACGGCGGCCGUAACUAUAACGGUCCUAAGGUAGCGAAAUUCCUUGUCGGGUAAGUUCCGACCUGCACGAAUGGUGUAACCAUGGCCACGCUGUCUCCACCCGAGACUCAGUGAAAUUGAAAUCGCAGUGAAGAUGCUGUGUACCCGCACCUAGACGGAAAGACCCCGUGAACCUUUACUACAGCUUGGCACUGAACAUUGAACCUACAUGUGUAGGAUAGGUGGGAGGCUUCGAAGCACAGUCGCUAGAUUGUGUGGAGCCGUCCUUGAAAUACCACCCUUGUAUGUUUGAUGUUCUAACAUUGGUCCCUUAUCGGGAUUAUGGACAGUGUCUGGUGGGUAGUUUGACUGGGGCGGUCUCCUCCCAAAUAGUAACGGAGGAGCACGAAGGUUAGCUAAUCACGGUCGGACAUCGUGAGGUUAGUGCAAUGGCAUAAGCUAGCUUAACUGCGAGACAGACACGUCGAGCAGGUACGAAAGUAGGUCAUAGUGAUCCGGUGGUUCUGUAUGGAAGGGCCAUCGCUCAACGGAUAAAAGGUACUCCGGGGAUAACAGGCUGAUACCGCCCAAGAGUUCAUAUCGACGGCGGUGUUUGGCACCUCGAUGUCGGCUCAUCACAUCCUGGGGCUGAAGUCGGUCCCAAGGGUAUGGCUGUUCGCCAUUUAAAGUGGUACGCGAGCUGGGUUUAGAACGUCGUGAGACAGUUCGGUCCCUAUCUGGUGUGGGCGUUGGAUGAUUGAUGGGAGCUGCUCCUAGUACGAGAGGACCGGAGUGGACGAACCGCUGGUGUUCGGGUUGUCAUGCCAAUGGCAUUGCCCGGUAGCUACGUUCGGAACGGAUAACCGCUGAAAGCAUCUAAGCGGGAAGCCGGCCCAAAGAUGAGUCAUCCCUGACUUUUAAAGUCCGGAAGGGUUGUUAUAGACGAUGACGUUGAUAGGCAGGAUGUGGAAGCGUUGUAAGGCGUUAAGCUAACCUGUACUAAUUGCCCGAGAGGCUUAACCAUACAACGCCCAAG
rnacentral:rRNA from 1 species